rnacentral:rRNA from 1 species
GACUACACGAAGCCGGAAUCGCUAGUAAUCGCGAAUCAGAAUGUCGCGGUGAAUACGUUCCCGGGUCUUGUACACACCGCCCGUCACACCAUGGGAGUCGGAAAUGCCCGAAGUCAGUGACCUAACCGAAAGGGAGGAGCUGCCGAAGGUGGAGCCGGUAACUGGGUGAAGUCGUAACAAGGUAUC